UACGGGGGGGGCAAGCGUUGUUCGGAAUUACUGGGCGUAAAGCGCACGUAGGCGGCUUGUUAAGUCAGGGGUGAAAUCCUGGAGCUCAACUCCAGAACUGCCUUUGAUACUGAGGAUCUCGAGUCCGGGAGAGGUGAGUGGAACUCCGAGUGUAGAGGUGAAAUUCGUAGAUAUUCGGAAGAACACCAGUGGCGAAGGCGGCUCACUGGCCCGGUACUGACGCUGAGGUGCGAAAGCGUGGGGAGCAAACAGG
rnacentral:rRNA from 1 species